rnacentral:rRNA from 1 species
GCUGGCGGCAGGCUUAACACAUGCAAGUCGAGCGGUAACAGGAGAAGCUUGCUUCUCGCUGACGAGCGGCGGACGGGUGAGUAAUACUUAGGAAUCUGCCCAGUAGUGGGGGAUAGCUCGGGGAAACUCGAAUUAAUACCGCAUACACCCUACGGGGAAAAGGGGGCGCUUGCGCUCUCGCUAUUGGAUGAGCCUAAGUCGGAUUAGCUAGUUGGUGGGGUAAAGGCCUACCAAGGCGACGAUCUGUAGCUGGUCUGAGAGGAUGAUCAGCCACACCGGGACUGAGACACGGCCCGGACUCCUACGGGAGGCAGCAGUGGGGAAUAUUGGACAAUGGGGGCAACCCUGAUCCAGCCAUGCCGCGUGUGUGAAGAAGGCCUUUUGGUUGUAAAGCACUUUAAGCAGUGAAGAAGACCUAACGGUUAAUACCCGUUAGCGAUGACAUUAGCUGCAGAAUAAGCACCGGCUAACUCUGUGCCAGCAGCCGCGGUAAUACAGAGGGUGCAAGCGUUAAUCGGAAUUACUGGGCGUAAAGCGAGCGUAGGUGGCUUGAUAAGUCAGAUGUGAAAUCCCCGGGCUUAACCUGGGAACUGCAUCUGAUACUGUCAGGCUAGAGUAGGUGAGAGGGAGGUAGAAUUUCAGGUGUAGCGGUGAAAUGCGUAGAGAUCUGAAGGAAUACCGAUGGCGAAGGCAGCCUCCUGGCAUCAUACUGACACUGAGGUUCGAAAGCGUGGGUAGCAAACAGGAUUAGAUACCCUGGUAGUCCACGCCGUAAACGAUGUCUACUAGUCGUUGGGGAACUUGAUUCCUUAGUGACGCAGCUAACGCAAUAAGUAGACCGCCUGGGGAGUACGGCCGCAAGGUUAAAACUCAAAUGAAUUGACGGGGGCCCGCACAAGCGGUGGAGCAUGUGGUUUAAUUCGAUGCAACGCGAAGAACCUUACCUGGUCUUGACAUAUCUAGAAUCCUGCAGAGAUGCGGGAGUGCCUUCGGGAAUUAGAAUACAGGUGCUGCAUGGCUGUCGUCAGCUCCUGUCGUGAGAUGUUGGGUUAAGUCCCGCAACGAGCGCAACCCUUUUCCUUAGUUACCAGCGGUUUGGCCGGGGACUCUAAGGAUACUGCCAGUGACAAACUGGAGGAAGGCGGGGACGACGUCAAGUCAUCAUGGCCCUUACGACCAGGGCUACACACGUGCUACAAUGGUAGGUACAGAGGGCAGCUACACAGCGAUGUGAUGCGAAUCUCAAAAAGCCUAUCGUAGUCCAGAUUGGAGUCUGCAACUCGACUCCAUGAAGUAGGAAUCGCUAGUAAUCGCGGAUCAGAAUGCCGCGGUGAAUACGUUCCCGGGCCUUGUACACACCGCCCGUCACACCAUGGGAGUUGAUUGCACCAGAAGUGGGUAGCCUAACUUUUAGAGGGCGCUC